UAGAGUUCUAAACAACUCCCAAACCCAUGUGGACAUACCUUUAGUUGCCUCGGCAGGUCGUGCUUCUUCAGUAAGAUGAUAGAAGCGCGGACAAAAAGCCUGCCAGUGGACAAGUAAACUCUGUUUUAUUAUUGAAAAUCUGAAACUAUAACUUAAUCAAGUUA
rnacentral:misc_RNA from 1 species